AUUGAACGCUGGCGGCAGGCCUAACACAUGCAAGUCGAGCGGAUGAAGGGAGCUUGCUCCUGGAUUCAGCGGCGGACGGGUGAGUAAUGCCUAGGAAUCUGCCUGGUAGAGGGGGAUAACGUCCGGAAACGGGCGCUAAUACCGCAUACGUCCUGAGGGAGAAAGUGGGGGAUCUUCGGACCUCACGCUAUCAGAUGAGCCUAGGUCGGAUUAGCUAGUUGGUGGGGUAAAGGCUUACCAAGGCGACGAUCCGUAACUGGUCUGAGAGGAUGAUCAGUCACACUGGAACUGAGACACGGUCCAGACUCCUACGGGAGGCAGCAGUGGGGAAUCUUGGACAAUGGGCGAAAGCCUGAUCCAGCCAUGCCGCGUGUGUGAAGAAGGUCUUCGGAUUGUAAAGCACUUUAAGUUGGGAGGAAGAGCAGUAAGUUAAUACCUUGCUGUUUUGACGUUACCAACAGAAUAAGCACCGGCUAACUUCGUG
rnacentral:rRNA from 1 species